ACGAACGCUGGCGGCGUGCUUCACCCAUGCCAGUCGCACGGAAAGGCCCUGCUUUUGUGGGGUGCUCGAGUGGCGAACGGGUGAGUAACACGUGAGUAACCUGCCCUUGACUUUGGGAUAACUUCAGGAAACUGGGGCUAAUACCGGAUAGGAGCUCCUGCUGCAUGGUGGGGGUUGGAAAGUUUCGGCGGUUGGGGAUGGACUCGCGGCUUAUCAGCUUGUUGGUGGGGUAGUGGCUUACCAAGGCUUUGACGGGUAGCCGGCCUGAGAGGGUGACCGGCCACAUUGGGACUGGGGUACGGCCCAGACUCCUACGGGAGGCAGCAGUGGGGAAUAUUGCACAAUGGGCGGAAGCCUGAUGCAGCAACGCCGCGUGCGGGAUGACGGCCUUCGGGUUGUAAACCGCUUUCGCCUGUGACGAAGCGUGAGUGACGGUAAUGGGUAAAGAAGCACCGGCUAACUACGUG
rnacentral:rRNA from 1 species